rnacentral:rRNA from 1 species
GAUGAACGCUGGCGGCGUGCCUAAUACAUGCAAGUCGAGCGAACAGACGAUGAGCUUGCUCCUCUGACGUUAGCGGCGGACGGGUGAGUAACACGUGUAUAACCUACCUAUAAGACUGGUAUAACUUCGGGAAACCGGAGCUAAUACCGGAUAAUAUAUUGAACCGCAUGGUUGAAUAGUGAAAGACGGUUGUGCUGUCACGUAUAGAUGGAUCCGCGCCGCAUUAGCUAGUUGGUAAGUUAACGGCUUACCAAGGCAACGAUGCGUAGCCGACCUGAGAGGGGGAUAGGCCACACUGGAGCUGAGACAGGGUCCAGAGUACUACGGGAGGGAGCAGAAGGGAAUCGUCCGCAACGGGCGAGAGCAUGACGGAGCAACGCCGAGUGAGUGAUGAAGGUCUUCGGAUCGUAAAGCUCUGUUAUUAGGGAAGAACAAAUGUGUAAGUAACUAUGCACGUCUUGACGGUAACUAAUCAGAAAGCCACGGCUAACUACGUG